rnacentral:rRNA from 1 species
AUUGAACGCUGGCGGCAUGCUUUACACAUGCAAGUCGAACGGUAACAGGCCGCAAGGUGCUGACGAGUGGCGAACGGGUGAGUAAUGCAUCGGAACGUGCCCAGUCGUGGGGGAUAACGCAGCGAAAGCUGCGCUAAUACCGCAUACGAUCUAUGGAUGAAAGCGGGGGACCGUGAGCCCUCGCGCGAUUGGAGCGGCCGAUGUCAGAUUAGGUAGUUGGUGGGGUAAAGGCUCACCAAGCCGACGAUCUGUAGCUGGUCUGAGAGGACGACCAGCCACACUGGGACUGAGACACGGCCCAGACUCCUACGGGAGGCAGCAGUGGGGAAUUUUGGACAAUGGGCGCAAGCCUGAUCCAGCAAUGCCGCGUGCAGGAAGAAGGCCUUCGGGUUGUAAACUGCUUUUGUACGGAACGAAAAGGCUCUGGUUAAUACCUGGGGCUCAUGACGGUACCGUAAGAAUAAGCACCGGCUAACUACGUGCCAGCCGCCGCGGUAAUAC